CUUAAAUGUAUAUGUAAAUGCGUCAACUCAGUGUAGGGCCCUCGUAUUCAACCCACUUCACUAUUGCUAACUCUCUCCUCCUGUAACACACAUUCACACACACAAACUGACUGAACUCACAGGGGUUGAGUCAGACAAACAGGAAGUAAACACACACAGGGCCUGAAUCUGCUAGCGCCCCAACACACUGCCUUACCUGUUAAGUCAGGGCCCCACUGCCCUUCCCAGCUUGAGCCAGAGUGGAGUGGACACCCACUACUUACUCACACACCACCCACGUGUGUGUCCUGUCCCCUCGGCUCACCUCUGAUGUGCCUCACACAGGCCCCCCCAUCUUUGUCAAAGACCGACUACACUCCCUCUGUUCCCAGUCAGUCAGAUAAGGGGGACACACUAUUUAUGAAAUGAACGAAGCACCACGUACUCUAAGUCAGCAAGAAAUGAUAAAAUAGUUAAAAUUAUAACUACAGUUAACUUAUAAUUAUUCUUAAAAUGACAAGGCAAUGCAUUCUUAGAGACCUUAGAUAUUUUAUAAAACAAAGAAGAUUUAUUUAGAAAUAACCAGGGUAAAGCAAUGAGUUUGCAGGAUGAAUGGUUAAUGAAGAUUUUGGCAGAAGAAUGUACUUUUGCUACAGAAUCAAUUAAUUAGUGAGGGUAAUGCCUGUUUAAUUAGUGGGGGUGUAAUGCCUGUGAAUUAGUGAGGUUCUAAUGCCUGUGAAUUAGUGGGGGUGUAAUGCCUGUGAAUUAGUGAGGGUGUAAUGCCUGUGAAUUAGUGGGUGUAAUGCCUGUGAAUUAGUGGGUGUAAUGCCUGUGAAUUAGAGAGGGUGUAAUGCCUGUGAAUUAGAGAGGGUGUAAUGCCUGUGAAUUAGUGGGGGUGUAAUGCCUGUUUAAUUAGUGGGGGUGUAAUGUCUGUGAAUUAGUGAGGUUGUAAUGCCUGUUUAAUUAGUGGGGGUGUAAUGCCUGUUUAAUUAGUGGGGGUGUAAUGCCUGUGAAUUAGUGAGGGUGUAAUGCCUGUUUAAUUAGUGGGGGUGUAAUGCCUGUUUAAUUAGUGGGGGUGUAAUGCCUGUUUAAUUAGUGGGGGUGUAAUGCCUGUUUAAUUAGUGGGGGUGUAAUGCCUGUUUAAUUAGUGAGGGUGUAAUGCCUGUGAAUUAGUGAGGGUGUAAUGCCUGUGAAUUAGUGAGGGUGUAAUGCCUGUGAAUUAGUGAGGGUGUAAUGCCUGUGAAUUAGUGGGGGUGUAAUGCCUAUUUAAUUAGUGGGGGUGAAAUGCCUGUUUAAUUAGUAAGGGUGUAAUGCCUGUGAAUUAGUGGGUGUGUAAUGCCUGUGAAUUAGUGGGUGUGUAAUGCCUGUGAAUUAGUGGGGGUGUAAUGCCUGUGAAUUAGUGGGGGUGUAAUGCCUGUGAAUUAGUGAGGGUGUAAUGCCUUUUUAAUUAGUGGGGGUGUAAUGCCUGUUUAAUUAGUGGGGGUGUAAUGCCUGUUUAAUUAGUGGGGGUGUAAUGCCUGUGAAUUAGUGAGGGUGUAAUGCCUGUGAAUUAGUGAGGGUGUAAUGCCUGUGAAUUAGUGAGGGUGUAAUGCCUGUGAAUUAGUGAGGGUGUAAUGCCUGUGAAUUAGUGAGGGUGUAAUGCCUGUGAAUUAGUGAGGGUGUAAUGCCUGUGAAUUAGUGAGGGUGUAAUGCCUGUUUAAUUAGUGGGGGUGUAAUGCCUGUUUAAUUAGUGGGGGUGUAAUGCCUGUUUAAUUAGUGGGGGUGUAAUGCCUGUGAAUUAGUGGGGGUGUAAUGCCUGUGAAUUAGUGGGGGUGUAAUGCCUGUUUAAUUAGUGGGGGUGUGAUGCCUGUUUAAUUAGUAAGGGUGUAAUGCCUGUGAAUUAGUGGGGUGUAAUGCCUGUGAAUUAUUAAGAAAAUAUAUAAUCCACAUCCUAAAUACAAUGUCUUAUUAUACACACACCGCAACACUUUUAACCAUGUCAUUUUAAGUCUGUAUACUUUGUUUCCAUGAGGAAAUAAUAGUUUUUCAGGCACUUUGUGUGCAGUUUGUUGCUUUCCAAUGGAGAAGCUCCUUGACUGAGCCGUAGUCAUCCUCAGUCUUCUUCGACACCCAACAGUUUCUCUGUCUCUGGCACAAGUCUGAGUGCCAUUUGGUUCAAACCUGCCUCUUUUGUUGCUGGUAGGAGAAGCUUUGAAGUAGGUGGGAGGUGUGUGAAGGUAAAGGGGGAAGGGUUCCUACUUGGACCCUUCUGGCUCUCCCCUCUUUGCCGGUAAAAGGUUUGGUGUGUAUUCCUUUUGUCCUUGUCGUCUGGUGUGGAUGUGUUGGUGCGACACUGCUGGACUGAGUUCAUUGGCGUAGUAGUGUACAGGACCGGG
rnacentral:lncRNA from 1 species